ensembl:lincRNA
GGGAGACGCGCGACGCGCCCGCCGCGUCCUCGCAGGGAAGCGCUUUCCUCCUCGGAGCGAACCAAAGUAGUGUUCCGAGGAGUGGUGAGGUUUACUGCGCGUGGUGAGCAGGGGCCCCACAAGGGCAGGCCUAGGUGUGAGGCAGGAGGAAGAGAGGGAGAACACAGAGCCCCCGAAGGUAGUCACAUUCAAAAAGUGGAAAUUCUGUUUCUGCCUCAUAAAGUUAAACUUGCAGGGCUGGGCGUGGUGACGCACGCCUGUAAUCCCAACACUCGGGAGGCUGAAGCAGGAGGAGUGUUGUGAGUUCAAGGCCAGCCUGGGCUACAAAGUGAGCUCAAGGUCAGCCUGAACUGCAUAGCGAGACCGUCUCAAAAAGACAAAAAAAAUAAAAAAUAAAUUAAAAAGUUGGAGUUAUGAUAUGACCCAGCAAUUUAUACCUAGGUAUAUACCCAAAAGAAUUGAGAUCAGGUAUCAGACAGGUGUUUGUACUCGAAUGUUCCAACAGUCCUGGGCAUGACAGCUGAAAGGUGGGAACAGGCCGAACUGUCCAACAAUGGAUGAAUGGAUAAACUGAAGAGCCAUCCAGCGGAAUAUUAUUCAGCCGCGAAGAGGAAUGGAGUGCAGAAUCGUACUACAACAGGCCGCCUUCUGCACAGCAGGCUGCGUGGCGCUUCUGGAACUCGGAUCUGCCCUGGCCCUCGUCUGCCUACCGUCUUCCAGGGACUCCCCGUGGUGGCCUCCUCACUGGCCCCCUCCGGGCGCAGGUGUCCUGGCUCCUGCUGGCUCUGACUUCAUCUCCCGCCAUGGCGCCCUGUAUUCGCUUAGCUCCAGCCACACUGGCCCACCCCAGGGCCUUUGCACUGUUUCCCUAUCUCCCUAACCUGGGCUUAGCUCUUUCCGGAGGCACACAGUAAAGCAAUCUAACAUCAAGGCGUAUCUGUGGAUUCGACCGACUGCAGACGGCAGAUCUUUGGGGAAAACAAGCACGUGGGCACUAACUGUAGUUGCACUGUGUUGGGGCUACAGGGAAUCUGAAGAUGACUUAGGACACACGGGGCCAUCUAGGUUGUACACAAGUGUGCUGCCACUUCAGGAGCUCUCGAGCACCCUCCGUCGGCCUGUGUGGCCCUCCCGAGGCCGGGGCCCUGGAUGCUGAGAGAGGAACCACGACUGCAUUGCUUUGCUCUCCCCGCUUCCUUCAUCCGCAAUCUUGUCCCUGAUGACGUUCCUCCUCUGCCUCACAAUUUCCUUUAGCAUAAAGACCUGCUGGUGCUGUGUUCUCUGCCUUUUUGUCAGAAAUGUCCUUGUGUAGCUGUCAGCAGGGUGGGAUCAGGUUUUACAGAUCCAAGUUAUGUUCUGCAGGCGCUGGUGGCAAAGAACAGGGGACAGUAACACAGUGGACCACACUAAAGCUCCUUGGGAGAGUUCCACACCAUUGUUAGUGUCCACUCGGAGAUACAAACCCUGCUUUUUUUUUUUUUUUUAAGCAAAGGGGAUGAAAUACCCAAGGUGGAUUGUUUACACAGGUGUUGGAGCGCUGAGGAGCAGAAAGGACAGUGCAGCAUGUUGGUAUUAGUAAUUACAGGAAGUGACUACCACCCCCAGGCUUGGGAGGAUGAAAGGGAAGCACUGGGGCCCCAGGAUCUGGGAUCUUGGAGGAAGAUUCCAGCUGGGGCUGGACCUGAGAGUUGGGACCAGCUUGGGCUUUUCCUUGCCAGGGGGUCAUUAUAGCCGGUGCUAGGAAUGUGGAAAGCAGGUGAGGGUUCCUGCAGCGAGGCCGGCAGGAAGCAGAAGCAGGAAGGGAUUACCUUCUCGCACCUGGAAUCUUCGGGGCCUCCCGCGGGCAGAGCCUCCUGGGAGUCAGCUGGCAAGGGGUUCUGGGAAAUGUGGUUUUCAAACCCUCGCCCUAUCUCCGGGGAGCAGAUAAUAGAAUGGGGUUCAGACCUGAGGCUAAGAGGUAAAUAAUCAGCCCCGUCAACUAUUUUUCCCUAUGCCUGCCUUGAAGACUUUUCUCUUUGAAUUUUUGCUUUCAUCAUGAUGGUCUAUUUCCUUUAUACUGCUUGAGACACAUUUAAGGUCUCAUGUGUAUAUAUUUACAUCUUCCAUCCAUUUUGGAAAAUGUGCAGCCAUUUCCCCGCUUUUGUGUCUUUUGUCUUCUUGAGACAGGGUCUAGCUGUGCAGUUCAGGGUGGCCUUGAACUCACUUUGUAGCCCAGCUGGUCUUGAACUCGCCACGAUCCUCCUGCCUCAGCCUCCCCAGUGCUGGGACUACAGGCAUGCACCACCACGCCCGGCUAGCCAUUCCCUUUUAAACCAUUGCCUCUGUCCUGAUCUUUCCCUCUUCUUCCAGAACAGCAAUUAAACGUGUGACCUGUUCCCACUGUGACUUUCACAGCUGAACCCCUUUUGUCCACAUUUCCCACCCUUUUGUCUCUUUGGUCACGGUUUUUCUGGAUCACUCUUUUUGCUCUGUCUUCCACUUCUCUGAUUUGUUCUUCAGCCAUGUUCUUCAGCCCUAAAGCAUCCCUUUGCUUUGUACCUUUAGUUAUAGACUUCCUGUUUAUUUCUUUUUAAACAUAUGCUAUGUAAUUUUAUAGUCUCCAGUUCUCUGAUGAAACUUUCAAGUUUCACGUUUAAUUUUUCUGCUCCUGCUGGGGACUGAACAUGCCAAGCAAUUUCACUGCCAUCGAGCUGCAUCCCCACACCUGGCAUUUAAUUUCUUGAACACAAUUUCCCGACCAUAGGUGUGAUGAUGCACACUUGUAAGCCCAGCAGCUCAGAAGGCUGAGACAGGAAGAUCACGAGUUUGAGGCCAGCCUAAGGAACUUGGUAAGACCCUGUCUCAAAACGAGGCAUAAGAACAGCUGGGGGUUUCCGUUGUACCCCAUUCAGAGUGGCUAUCGUCAAGAAUACAAAAAACAUGGGGCCAGGAAAAUAGCUCAGUGGCUUAAGCGCCCGCCUGGCAAGCAUAAGGUCCUGAGUUCGAUUCCUGGCACCAAAACAAAAAACAAAACCCAAAAAACAACCAACCAAACAAAAAAAGAAUACAGAAAACAGUAAAUGCUGGUGAGGCCUGGGGUGGGAAGGACCCUGUCUACACUGCUGGUGAGAAUGUAACUUAGUGCAAUAACUAAGGAAAUCAGCAUGGAGAUCCUUCAAAAAACUAAAAAUAGGGCCGAGGAUACAGCUCAGCAGCGCAUCUGCCUGGCAAGCCUAGGGUCCUGAGUUCAAUUCCCGGUAGCAAACAAACAAAACAAAACAAAAAAAAAACCUAAAAAUAGAGCUGCAGUAAUUCCCUGAUUUACCAUCCAGUUUUCUUCCAGGGGAACAUCAUAAGUCAAAUUCUUUGGUAAGUCUGACAAAGUGGGUCUUCCACCCCUUUGACACAAAUUCACAAUGUAAAGCAUAAAAACCACACACACAGACACUGUGAAGAAAUUAGGUUUACUUUCACAUUACCUUAACGUGGCAGCACGGGAGAGAACAGCGGCAGAGCGGGGACUGCGGGGGCCCGGCCAGCGGGAGUGAUGGGACCGAAGAGGGGGCGGGGGCGGAGCUGCAGGGUGGCCAGGGGUGCGGAGGGCUGCACUUCCCUCGCACCUCAUGCUGACCACGCAGGCUCUUGAUAGAUCCAGUUCGGGCUCCCUCGUUGACCAAGCGACCCAGCGAUGGCUUUUUCCCAUCCUGGAUGACAGCUUUCUGAAGGGCUGCGGCAGCCUCUGUGCUCCACCGUGCGGUCCUGCGCCUCAGAAUUAACAGGGGCCGCUUUCCGGAGCUGCGCGUCUCUGCGGCCCUUCGGUGCCGUCUUCCCCUUGGCUGUCUUCGGCGCUCCGCCCGGCUCUGCUUCCCUCAGGUCCCCGCCAGCGAGCUUGGCCCGGUGCACAGCGAGGAGCGCAGGGAGGUCGUCCUCGCGCCCUUGCGGGCCUCUUUGCAGUCCUUACCCACCCUCCCGGGUGCCUGAACUUCGAGAACAAACUGCAGCGAAGGCUCUUCCAAUCCCCAUCCGUCGUGACGGCCGAAACCUCACGCCAAGCAAGCCUGGCCCUUAUCAUGGCCUUGCAGAUGCUGUGGUCCUUGCAACACUGUCACAAGGUUGCACGUGUUUCAUCAGCUGCCUGCACUGCCUGAUGGAAAAUGUGGCGUGAAUGGUAUUUGUUGAAAAUCGCAGUAACUCCUUGGUCCAUGGUUGGGAAGAGGCUGUCGCAUCCGGUGGCAGACGCACUACUUUGACACCGGGAGGAAAGUCAUGCGUGAAUUGGGGGUGACCUAGGGCUUUGCCAAGCAGCAAAAGAAUGCCGCAUGGGAUCUGUUUCUCCGAGUAGGACUUCUCUACCCCUGGGGUAGAGUGGUGGGAAAACCAGCCCUGGAAAACGGCCGGUGUGACCCAGGCUUUGGAGUUUCUCUCUGCAAGGGAGAGCGCCCGUGGCUCUGCUUUCGGGGGCUCCUGGGUUCUCUGAACGGUGGACCAACAGAGGCUCUAGUUUGUGUCGCUGGAAGCGUUGCCAAACAGAGCAAGUCCGUCCUUGCUGCUUUGAAGCCGGCGUCCCUGCUCCUCCUUCCUGAUGUGACCUUGCUCUGUCACCCUCUGCCAGUCCAGUCCUGUCCCACAGGUGCUCAAAGCCUGCUGGGUAAAUCAGCGCCUUCCUCUGCAGUUCCUCUGAGUGUCGCGGAAACGCUCCGGCGGCUGCAGCCUCGGCAUGCGCGGCCUCGCGCUGCUCUCCGGCUGUGAAGGUCGCUGAGACCGACCGUUAACCCGUCCACGGCCGGCCAGCAGGAAGAGAUGCACCAGCUCACCGCUCUCCUGUAGGUCUCCAAGCAGGCUUUCAGCUUUAUCCUGAGCAGCACCAAGCUGACGCUGACCCUGCAUCCGCACUGCGGUCCCUCCACCUCUGUCACCGCACCAUGCCUUUUGGGUAUCACUGUUGACCUCCCACGUCCCAGGACUCGUGCUUGUGCGAGCACUGUAGCAUCGUGCCCGCAGUUGGAGGGUUCACGUCACAACAGUGAGCGGCCUCCCCCACCCUUUCGCCUCAGUCCCAUCUCCCAAUUACUCUCACUUUUGUUCCCCUGGUUCCUGCUUUGCACGUCCUAGCGCCCCCUCCACCUCACCCCUGCUCUUCCUCUGGCUUCUGGCUACCCUGGCUCUGAGCGCCGUCCCACGCUGUGCGGUGAGCACACAGCAGCGCACUGUGACAGCGUCCAGCAGGCCCGUGGGCUGUUUCUGUGAAUGUUCGUAAUUCGAGGUCCAUUUCUGUCUGUGAAAGUUCCCAAUUCAAAUGUUUGCAAGUCAGGGACUUCCGUAUCACAUGAUUCUGCUACCCCACUUUUUGGUGUAUCCUCAAAGGAAUUAAAGUCAGCAUACACUAGGGAACCUCCAUACCCAUGUUUAUUGCAGCACAAGUCACACAACCAACAUGUUGUGCUGGCCAGGGUGGCAAUCAACAAAUGAAUGGAUAAAGUAGAUGUCAUAUACACACACAGUGGAAUAUUAUGCAGCCAUAAAUAAGAAUGAACUUGUCAUCUGCAGGCAAAUGGAUGGACUGGAAAUCAUGUUAAGCAAAGUAAAGUACACUCAGAAAAACAAGUGUCAGAUGUUUUCCCAAAUCUGUGGAAUCGUGUGUGUGUGUGUGUGUGUGUGUGUGUGUGUGUGUGGUGCUGGAGACUGAUUCUAGGAACUUCUGGCUGAGCUGCA